rnacentral:lncRNA from 1 species
AAACCCAUUUAUGGAGGACAAAUGAGUAUUUUCAAGUUAAAAAUUAGGGUAAACACACGACCCGCUUCUUUAAAGAACCCGCCUAUCCGCCGUCUCGUUUCCCCGUCUCUUCUUAUAAAAGAGGGUCGCUCAGCUUCCAGUCUCUUUUCAAAGCAUCUCUUCAGCGACAUCUCGUUAGUGUUCGUGCUCUUCUCCCUCUUUCUGGACUGACGAAGUUAGUUUUUUGAAAAGAAAUCUAAUUAAAAACUCAACACCAAAUUUGGGUUUUUUUCCUUUGCUUUUACACAAAGAGAAGGCUUCUUUAUCUGGUCAGUGUGGAUUUUUAAUUCCCAUAUGACUCGUUCCCUAGAAGCGAAAGUGGUUGUGUUGCUCUUUUAACAUCUCUCCCACAGCCCUUUUACUUUUGGUUGCUUUGGGAGUCCAUUUGGGCAACUACAUUCGAAUUUCAUCAUUCACCCAUUUGAAUUUUCAAUGUUUUUUUUUUAUAGAAAAUUAGGAGUUUUAGUAUUAAAAGAACAGUGAUGAGUCAAUACAGACCUGUAAUGACUUGCGGUAAUGAUCGCAACAGUUUAUGAACAUCUAAGGGACUGAGUUCUUUUUAAUACUUCUCCUUCAUUUUCUGUAUUGCUAAUGUCUUGCAGAUUAAAAUAUUUUCCUCUGAUAUUAAUUUUGGUAUUAUCAUAUUUCUGAGGCUUCAUAUCUUUGUUUUAUAAAAAGCUAAUCGUAUUUCUGAUGCUUCAUAUCUUUGUUUUAUAAAAAGCUAAAACUAUGAAUUGAUAAUUUUAUGCUUGUAUCAGUGAAGCCUAAAAAAGUUUGUUCCCCUCGCCAUCCAGAGCUGCCUUUUUGGAUUGCAUUUGGACGUCGGGGAACUACAUUGUGAUUUUUGCAAUUUUGAAUGCAACGUGUUUUUCCUUGUUAGCUUAUUUGCAGUCAGUUGAUAGCACUAUUUUCCGUUAAAAAAUGACGUGAUGAUGAAUUGCAAUAGCGCGCUGAAGAAAUUUCAAGAUUGAUUCUACGAUUUUUAAUCGUUAUAGAUAUGCGAGACUUUUGGCCGUGAAUUGUUCGUUCAAUUUUAAAAAUAAGUAUAAAGAUUGGAUAUUCAAAAAGUUGGAUUGAAACUGAAUGUAAAUCAGUUGAUGUGAUACAAUUUUAAUAGAAUUAAUCUUGUAGUGUUUUCUAUGAUUAAUCUUUUGCUUGGAAGCUGAUUGCAAAUUUCAUUUGAAGCUUUGCAACCUUAUGGCUCAUCAACCAGCACGCAAGUAGAAUGAAACUGUUACUCCUGGAGUUGCUGCAAUUGAAGUCUUCCAGAGGAUAUAAAUCUGGGGUAUCAGUUGAUGUGAGAAAUUAAAAAUGCUGCCGUAAAUUCAGUAAUAAAAUGGCGACUAGGACUUUCCUAAGCAGUGGUUCUCCGGAGGUUGUUGGACUUGCCAUGAUGUCUUAAUUUUUGUAAUUUAUGGUUUUUCUUUUUCGAAUUUCGUUUGUUGGUACUCCCUGAAGCAGAACUGUUUCUUUUGAAGUUGGUUUUUGCAAAAUGUAUUUUCUUCAAUUUCAAACAAAAAGUUCUUAACGAAAUAAGCUUGCUGGGGAUGUAAUUGAGUUAAGCAUAUUAGCACAGAUGUUUGCGAUUUAUUCAUUAUAUAAACAAACACUGCUAAAGUUGAGACCAUCAUGUACUAUAUAGUUUUCAAUCUUGACACGGCCUGUAGAAUUGAUUUUGAACCUGAGAGGCCCAGUUAGAAGUAGGCAAAAUUUAGACUUGUAUUUAGCCCAUGAAAUUUUUAUGUAUGGAACAAAUAUUAAUGGGUUGUGUCUUCUUAAAAAACAAAGAGUGUAAAAGUGUUAAAAUAGUAGUUUCAGUUUGAUGGAUAAACAAAUUAUACAAAAAGAUAUAGACAGUAUAGGUUUUUGUCUCCAAUUCCAUGUGAAAAAAUUAAAGUAUUUUCCCUUACUUGGCCUAGCUUUACCUUUAAAGGUGUUGCGAUCAUUUUCUUAUUGAUUGGUAGCUUUAUCAGAGUUUAUUGUAUAAAUAAUAAAAAUAAUUAUUUUUUUCAUUGUGGAAUUAAAAAUCUAUUAAUAUAUAUUUUAUGUUUAAUUUUUUUUUAAUGCAUGGAUAAGAUUUUAUUGACUUAAAUACUUCGAAUUAAGAUGAAAAGAUAAUAUAUUUAUAAUGUGAGAUAAAUAAUAUUUUAAAAUAAUUUUUUAAAUUUUAUUAUUUAUAAAUUGUUUCUUGAUUUUUUUUCAUGUAAAAUUUAAAAUUUUAAAUAUUUUUUCUUAAUUUUUUAUCCACAUCAACUAUUAUGACACUUGACCAAUUCAACCUUCGACCCAACUCUUUGAUGAUGGUGCUUGUUUAAAAGUGUAAUUGUGAUUGUUUUUUAAAUAAUUUUUCGUGUUAAAAUAUAUGUUAAUAAUAUUUUUUAUUUUUUAAAAAAUAAUUUUGAUAUCAAUAUAUCAAAAUGAUUUAAAAAUACUAAAAAUAUAUUAAUAUAAAAUUAAUAAAAAAAUACAAAAAUACAAAAACAAACAGCAAUUCCAGUGCCUCAACUACCCAAUCAGUUGUUGAGUGGAGUUUCUGGCUUCCUGCUGGACGAAAAGAGGACAUGUUCGAUAUUUGAGGUUGCAGUUGGUAGUUACUGUAGGCCCAUUGCUUCUGAGUUCAGAUAGAGCCUGAAUUUGACAUCAGCGGUCCAUUAAAAGUCCACGCAAACACGCGGCCUGCGAACGACAAACAACACUGUCCGUCAUGAAAGGUCAAGACACUAAAAAAAAGUGUUCAGACUCCAGUCAUAAAAGACAACGGAAAACACUAGUGCUCUAAUAUAUGAUAUUUUUAUUUGUGUAAAUACUUUCGUCAUUAAUGAUCUAUUGUGUGCCUGUGGUUUGAAAAUUUUCAAACAAAAUCAAUUUUAUUGUUGAUCAUCAAGUGGCUAAUAAAAUAUUAAAAACAAGAUACUAUUAAUAUCCGGGAAUUUAAGAUUAUAAUACACAAAAAUUGUGUUCUUGUGAGGUUUGAGCUUGGUCGUGGUUAUGCUAUGUACAAAUCCCAGGAGGGGGAGCCCCAUGCACAACUAGGGAUUUAAGCUUCUUGUUGAUAAGACAGCAAGUUAUGUCGAAGAAAAAUUGGGAUUGGUGAUUUAGAUUAGUAGAGUGAUCGUAUGAUAAAAAACAAGAUCUUUUACAUAGAAGUCAACGACAAAGAAUAUCCAUCGUCAUAAAAAAAAAAAAAAGAAGAAGAAGAAAAAGAAAAAGAAAACAUUUUGCACCAACGGAAAUUGAUUGGCAACAAUUGCAACAACUUUUCCGACCACGUUAUGUUAUCUAAGAUUUACAGUUUAAUAUACUCGUGUUGACUUGAUCUAUUGUUCCCGUGAUAGACUUAGCUCAUAUCUGGUAAUGGUAAUGCUUCUGUAUUGUGUUUUUGAAACUUCAUUUUAAAAUAUAUUUAAAUAAAAUAAUAUCAACUUAAUUUAAUAUUUUUUUUAAGAUUUCUUAGAUAAUUUUAAUAUGUUAAUAUUAAAAAGCAUUUGAAAAAAUGUUUAUGCAUAAAUCUAAAAAGUGUAUUAUCACACAAACACCUAAUAUUUUAUUCGUGAGUUUUUUUUUUAAUUUAGUUCUAUAAAUUAAACUGAUGAUCAAGUUAUUUGGUUUUUAAGGUUGACUAUAUAAUUAAUUAAUAUUAUGUUUGUAAAAAUAAAAAUGAAGGGAUAAUAUAUUGGGAAGUUUUGAUGCACAUGGCAGAGAUGGAAAAUUAUUAAAUCUAUUAAGGGGAGGGGAGUGCGACCAAAAUGUUGUUUGUCUAGAAUUUAUAUAUUUUUUACUUAAAAUUAAUUAUUUUUUAAUUUUUAUAUUAUUUGCUGAUAUAAAAAAUAAAAAUAUUAUUUAAAAAUAUUUUUAAAUUAAAAAAAAAACUUGUAAACAGUCCCUAAAAAUGAAAAUGAAGUUUACCGUUUUAAUUUAAUUUGGUCAUAGGGCGCUGGCGACAUUGAUAUUUACCAGACGGCGAUAACGGUCACCAAACAGAAACACGCUGUCAACAACGGUUACUUCAGAGAAGAUGCGCUCGAGCAGGUCAGGAUGGGACCCACGGUUCUGCUCACAGCGACAUCUUCCAGGCUAUAAUAAUAAAAAUAAUAAUAAUAAAAUAACAGCGAGAGUCAAGAACACUGAACACUCCAUUCACACUGCCACUCCCGUAUCAAUCACAUCCUUAACGUGUUUGACUACAAUAUCGGAGAAAAAAAAAUAAAAAAAAUCAUGGUUUCACACACACACACACUGCCACCGGAAAAAAAAAAAAAAAAUCAUGGUUUCACACACACACACACUGCCACCGGAAAAAAAAUUAAAAAAAAAAUCAUGGUUUCACACACACGCACACACUCACACUCCCUCCCUCCUGCUACUAUUAUUUCCCAAGAAAGGCGCCCUUGACGUUGCCUGGAAAGGCGCUCCCACUCAUGAAUGUAGAAGAAAAAAAAAACUUCGAUAUUCGAUUUUGAAGGUAUUUAUUUUUGUGUUCAAAUAUUAUUUUUUUAAAGUUUUUGAUUUUUUUUAAAAUUAAUUUAUUUACGAGCAUGGAUUAUUUUGAUGUAUUAAAAAUAAAUAUAUUAUUUUCAUAUAUUUAUAUUAAAAUAUUAUUUAAAAAAACAACUUAGAAUCACAUAUUUACCCACCUUCGUACCUAGUUGAAAACUUAUGAUGGUAUUGAAAUGGAAUCCGCGGAUUCACUCAGCCAAACCAAACUAGAAAAGCAUUUUCGGGAACUACCUUGCACUGCACCGUGUUGGAAAACACACAAAAUUGGCUUGAAAAUAGCUGGAUGGUCACGAAAACUCCGAGGUGAUUAGCUGUGGUCUACCAUGUUGGCGUGUUUAUACCAGAAGCGGUUUAUUUUUUUAUUUUAAAAAAUAUUUUUUUAUUUUUUUUAAAAUUAAUAUUUAUUUAGUGUUUUUAAAAUUAUUUUAAUAUAUGUAAAAAAACACUUCAAAUACUAUUUAAUAAUUUUUUUUAUUUUAAUAUAUUCUCGAGUGAAAAAUACUUUAAAAAGUAACCGCUAUCACACUUUCAAACACCAACUAAAACCUAUUUAUUUUUGCAUUUUAAAAGUGUUUUUGAGAAAAAUUAAUUUUUUAUAUAUUUUUAUGCUUUAAACUAAUAUUUUUAAUAUUUUCAAAUAAUUUUAAAGUGUUGAUAUCAAUAAUAAUUUUUUUAAAAUAAAAAAAAUAUUAUUUUAAUAAAUUUUCAAAUAAAAAAUAUUAUAAAAAAUAACAAUUACCAUACCUUUUCAAACACUCUUAUAAGAAAGUAUCUCUUGCCUCGAAAGAAAUAUUUGUAAAAACAAAUUUGUAUUUGAGUUUGACCAUAGAAUUUUUCAUUGUUCUGUGUAUUGAUUAUAAAUUUCAUGGAGAUUGUGAUGAAUUCGUUUUAUAUAGAUUUAAUAAGAAAAAGGAAUGUUUUUGUUUAAAUAAACUCGUGGGUUGCUGUCUUGAAUUUAUCAAAGUGCUUAUAUGUUUGUAAAAACGAAACAAACAAGAAUGUAUUCCUUGUUUUGCCUGUAGCAUCCUCCUCGACAUAUUGUUUUCUUCAGUUAACCUUUGAGCUCUAUUAUAUCUUAAUAAAGUUUAUUUCAAUCAUGUCUUUUAAACUGUUUUCAUUUUCU